UGCAGCUCUAAUUUGGUGGUAAAUUCCAUCUAAAGCUAAAUAUUGGUGGGAGACCGAUAGCGUACAAGUACCGUGAGGGAAAGAUGCAAAGAACUUUGAAAAGAGAGUUAAAGAGUACCUGAAAUUGCUGAAACGGAAGCGAAGGAAACCAGUGUUUGUUUGUUCAUAUUUCCCUAGCCACUUGUGGCUUGGGCGCUGUGG
rnacentral:rRNA from 1 species